AAUCGGUAUAAUAAGCCACACUUUAGCUAGAACUAUUAGUAUAUCGUCUUAAACAAAGUUAAAAUGAAUGUGUUAGCAGUUACGUUUUGGCUGGCUCUGAUACUAGUCACCGUGUUGAGCAUAAGUUCGCUUGGUGCAGUGGAAACAGAAGCACCAACGCAAAAGCCAACCGAACAGCCACCGAAACAUCGACAAUUCUGGCCUGAGUUUUAUCUACCCCCUGGAAAAUAAUGUUCAACUCAAAUAAAGAUUAGGACAACCGCCUUCCUGACGAUCUUGUUGUAUUACAAUCAUAAGAAAAAAACAGGUGUGGUUCUUGCUGAUUACAUGUGUUCUUUGUCCUUUGCUGGUCUUUUCGAGGUAAAGAUGACGCGCAUAAGUGAGAAUGGAUUAGCUAUGAAAAGUGCUAGAGAUGUAGUAUUAGUUAGGCUAGAAAUCCAAAGAAGUUAUUUUUUAAUUCUGAUCAAAAACUGAUCUACGACAUGCCUCUAAGAUGAACCGAUUUUUUCUAUAAGUAAUUGUAAUCCAGGGAAGAAUUACUUACAGUAAGUAAUUCUCGUGGGAUUUUGAACUAAGGUUUCGAAAGAUAAAAAUGUAAUCCCUCUAGAACCUGAUGAUUUGUGAGUAAAUAAAUGAUAGUAGUUCGAGAGGGAAUUAUAUUUUAAUUCUAAAAAAUCGGUCGCAUGCUGUUAAUACCUAAAAGAUUAAGAUCUGGUCCAAUUCAAUUUCGUCCAGUCCAAUAAUAUUCACAGGGCUUAUAUUUGUCAAACGUUUCACAAACAUUGUCAAAGUUUCACAAAAUUUCGCCUAUUUCCCGAUUUGGUAUACUAAAAUGUGACGUAAUUAUAGUGUGGU